UAUGAUAUAUUAAUUUUGGAAAUGAAAAGAAUACUUCUUCGUUAAAGUUAUGACCUUAAACAUUCUAUAACGAUAGAAUGUAUAUGGGAGAUAUAGUCUAUAUACAUGGGAUGGAAAUCUAUAAUGAUAUAUUUCAAGAUAUAAUUGGAUUAUAUCAAUCCCUAAUAAUAGACAAAAGAUGCUAGGAAGUUUCUCAUAUGAUGAUAAACUUCAAUUAGAAGGACGACUCUAGUGAGACUAGCAAGUUGCCUUUCUCAAAGGGAACGUACCCUUUGACUCCCAAAGAAAUAAUGCGUAAAUAGAAUCCUUUAUGCAUACGCAGAGAGGUGAUUUAUGUAUUUCAUAUUGUAUGAAAAACAUUGAUAUGAGUUGUACAUAGAAAGGUACAAGACGAUAUCAGUGCAAGCCCAGG
rnacentral:lncRNA from 1 species